rnacentral:rRNA from 1 species
GUGGGGAAUAUUGGACAAUGGGCGCAAGCCUGAUCCAGCCAUGCCGCGUGAGUGAUGAAGGCCUUAGGGUUGUAAAGCUCUUUCAGUAGGGAAGAUAAUGACGGUACCUACAGAAGAAGCCCCGGCUAACUUCGUGCCAGCAGCCGCGGUAAUACGAAGGGGGCUAGCGUUGUUCGGAUUUACUGGGCGUAAAGCGCACGUAGGCGGAUUGGUCAGUUAGAGGUGAAAUCCUGGAGCUCAACUCCAGAACUGCCUUUAAUACUGCCAGUCUAGAGUCCAGAAGAGGUGAGUGGAACUCCUAGUGUAGAGGUGGAAUUCGUAGAUAUUAGGAAGAACACCAGUGGCGAAGGCGGCUCACUGGUCUGGUACUGACGCUGAGGUGCGAAAGCGUGGGGAGCAAACAGGAUUAGAUACCCCUGUAGUCC